rnacentral:rRNA from 1 species
AUUAAGCCAUGCAUGUCUCAGUACAAGCCGAAUUAAGGUGAAACCGCGAAAGGCUCAUUAAAUCAGUUAUGGUUCCUUAGACCGUACCACGUUUACAUGGAUAACUGUGGUAAUUCUAGAGCUAAUACAUGAGUAUAGAGUUCCGACCGGAGACGGGAGGAAUGCUUUUAUUAGACCAAAGCCAAUCGGCGGCGGGGUUCGCGCCUCGUCGUCGUUCUUUUUGGUGACUCUGAAUAACUAUGCUGAUCGCACGGCCUCGCGCCGGCGACGUGUCUUUCUAAUGUCUGCCUUAUCAACUGUCGAUGGUAGGCUCUGCGCCUACCAUGGUUAUAACGGGUAACGGGGAAUCAGGGUUCGAUUCCGGAGAGGGAGCCUGAGAAACGGCUACCACAUCCAAGGAAGGCAGCAGGCGCGCAAAUUCCCCACUCCCGGCACGGGGAGGUAGUGACGAAAAAUAACGAUACGGGACUCAUCCGAGGCCCCGUAAUCGGAAUGAGUACACUUUAAAUCCUUUAACGAGGAUCAAUUGGAGGGCAAGUCUGGUGCCAGCAGCCGCGGUAAUUCCAGCUCCAAUAGCGUAUAUUAAAGCUGUUGCGGUUAAAAAGCUCGUAGUCGAACUUGUGUCCCGCGCCGUCGGUUCACCGCUCGCGGUGUUCAACUGGCGUGCCGCGGGACGUCCUGCCGGUGAACUUAGCCCGUCGGCGACGGCGGGCGGUUCAACUUACAAUCCCAUCGCGGUGCUCUUCAGUGAGUGUCGAGGUGGGCCGGCACGUUUACUUUGAACAAAUUUGAGUGCUUAAAGCAGGCUAGAAUUUUGCCUGAAUACUGUGUGCAUGGAAUAAUGGAAUAGGACCUCGGUUCUAUUUCGUUGGUUUUUGGAACUCCCGAGGUAAUGAUUAUAGGAACGGACGGGGGCAUUCGUAUUGCGACGUUAGAG